rnacentral:rRNA from 1 species
GCAGUCGAGCGGAAAGGCCCUUCGGGGUACUCGAGCGGCGAACGGGUGAGUAACACGUGAGUAACCUGCCCUAGGCUUUGGGAUAACCCUCGGAAACGGGGGCUAAUACCGGAUAUUCAUUCCUCGCGGCAUCGCGGGGUGUGGAAAGUUUUUUCGGCCUGGGAUGGGCUCGCGGCCUAUCAGCUUGUUGGUGGGGUGAUGGCCUACCAAGGCGACGACGGGUAGCCGGCCUGAGAGGGCGACCGGCCACACUGGGACUGAGACACGGCCCAGACUCCUACGGGAGGCAGCAGUGGGGAAUAUUGCACAAUGGGCGGAAGCCUGAUGCAGCGACGCCGCGUGAGGGAUGAAGGCCUUCGGGUUGUAAACCUCUUUCGACAGGGACGAAGCGCAAGUGACGGUACCUGGAGAAGAAGCGCCGGCCAACUACGUGCCAGCAGCCGCGGUAAGACGUAGGGCGCGAGCGUUGUCCGGAUUUAUUGGGCGUAAAGAGCUCGUAGGCGGCUUGUUGCGUCAGCUGUGAAAACCCGCAGCUCAACUGUGGGCUUGCAGCUGAUACGGGCAGGCUUGAGUUCGGUAGGGGAGACUGGAAUUCCUGGUGUAGCGGUGAAAUGCGCAGAUAUCAGGAGGAACACCGGUGGCGAAGGCGGGUCUCUGGGCCGAUACUGACGCUGAGGAGCGAAAGC